rnacentral:lncRNA from 1 species
AACAUACAGUUGCCUGAUUUUUCCAAGUGUCUUAGGAAAGGACUCACUUCAAGUGUCAGUAAACUGACUUCACAAGAUACAGGGUGGCAUAUUCAGGGACCUGGUAAACACAGAACUCCAGUGAAAGCCAGCCUUGGAAGCAGGACUGUCACGUCCUGUCACUAUGACUACAGGAUUUAUGGCUCCUGUAGCAUCCCGGAGAAGCAUCAGGAGAUGCUGAGCCCACAGUCUGACGACAGCCUACCGAUGGCAUGUUUCUGUCAUGAUCAAGCAGAAGGUACAUCGCAAGAACGAGGGGACCUUAACGACACAUUUCUGCAUAGUCUCCCUUAUAUUUCUGCACCUCCUCCUAUGAUGUUUGCGUCACCCGUACGCAAAGAGGAAAUUGUCAUUAUAAACACGGUGAACUGGGGUUUUUACAAGUCAAACAUUUCAGAUGUCUUCUUCUGGCAGAUUUUUUUUCAUUUUUCGGGUAAACAUUUCCUUCCAGUUUCAAGAUGUAGACAGACAUUAAAAUUACUCUUUUGAAACCAUAAGUCUAUCUACAUAUAGAUAGGUAGAUGAUAGAUAGAAGUAUAUAUUAAUAUGUGUGUGUUGUGUACAAAACUCACACACAUACAUACACAUAUAUUAGCUACAUAAAGUUUUACACACUUUUUUACACAAGUGGUAGAUUGCCACUGCAUUCUAAAAACUUACAAUUUUCUCCUGGACUCAGGUACACUAUGUUUAUGUAAACAAAUGUUUUCCCUAAAUAAUCACUUUAAAUUUUUCAAUUAAAUUUAAUUUAAAUUUUCAAUUAAAUGUAAAACUUCUGAGGCAUAUAUCAUUUUUAAAAAACUAUUUAAUUUCUGCCUCCCCAAAAAUCCCAGAAUGUAUUCUGAAAUAUAUUCAGAAAAAAUAGUUAGCAUGUAUCUUUUGUAACUGAAUGUCUAUGUACAAUCAUAUAUCGAUGUGAAUAGGCUUUUUUCUUUCUCCCUUUGACUUGAAAUGAUUUCCCUUUACUUAGUCUCUGUUGAUAUUACGGUUCAUGUAAGCCGGCUGCUGUCUACAUGUCCUAGCGUUGGAUAUAAAAAACACACAAAGAAAGAGCAUUAAAACCAUGGUAUUAGGAGUUGCCUAGUGGCCUAGAGAUUAAGCAUUCAGCAUUGUCACUGCUAUGGCUCAAGUUCAGUCCCUGGCCUGGGACCUUCGCAUGCCAAGGGCACAGCCAAUAAAUUAAAAAAAUCAUAGUAUGAGCAUCACCCAGACCCAGCUAUCUCUCUGUCUCUGUUAGAGAUGGUGCACCACACUGCCAAACUAAUGGGACUGAUGGAUGAGAACUUUAAGGAAAAAUAUCUCUGAGGCGUUCCCAGCGUGGCUCAGCGGUUAAUGAACCCAACUAACAACCAUCCCUGGCCCCACUCAGUGGGUGAAGGAUCUGGUGUUGCCAUGAGCUAUGGUGUAGGUCAAAGACAGAGCUCAGAUCCUGCUGUUGCUGUGGCUGUGGUGUAGGCCGGUGGCUACAGCUCCAGUUGGACCCCCUUAGCCUGGGAACCUCCAUCUGCUGUGAGUGCAGCCCUAAAAAGACAAGAGGAUUUUUUUAAAAAUCUCUGAAAUGGACACAAAAGUGACAUCGGUAAGCUCCCUGCAUGUACCCCACCCCCUGCUGCGUCGAUGAGGGGAGGGCGGGAGGUGUUAGCCUGGGAACAAGUAAUCAAACCUGAACAAGGACUGAUGUAAAAAUUGAUGAAAUCUUUUAUGGAUGAGCCUGUGGACUCGCAUCACCCGUUCCUAGGGGUGAACGCCCAUUUAGGCACCUCCAGACCAGAAAAUUUUCCUAAGACUCAGCAAAGUGGCCUGACUCACAGCUCUGGACCAACCGCGAGGCCCUAAUUAUUAAUACUUCUCCCACACAAGCCCUUCUCUCCAAUCCCUCCAAGGAAGCCCUGACUCAGGCUAUAAUGCCUCGCACCUUGAUUACUGCCCGUCUUGAAACUAGUGUUCCUGCCUCUGUUCUCACUCACAAUGAGCCGCAUUGUGGGUCACGCCAUCCUCCUGCCCACGUAAUCCAGGCGGACCUUGUUUUAUGGCACUUCCCGUCGAGGCACAUCAAGCAAGCCUACUGGUGCCAUUUUUCCAAGAGCGCUUGCUCACUUCAUGGUCUGUGUCCAUUUUGGUGAUUCUCACAAACAUUUCAAACUUCUUCAUUUGUGUUACAGUUAUUGGGGGAUCUGUCAUCAGCGAUCUUUGGUGCUACUAUUUCAAUUGUUUGAGGAUACCAAGGCUUAUAUUAGGUUUUAUAUAAGACUGCCAACUACAUCACUAAAUGGAGUGUGGGUUCCAAACACUCCACCAACCAUCCCUUCCUUCACAUUCAAGCGAAAGGAAGAGUCACACAUCUCUCACUUUAAAUCGAAAGCUAGAAAUGAUGCAGCUUAGUGAGACGGUCACGUCGAAAGCUGAGAGAGGUCCCCAGCUAGGCUUCCUGCACCAAACAGUCAAGUUGUGAAGGCAAAGGGAACGUUUGUGCAUGAAAUCAAAAGUGAUGAGAACACGUGAAUGAUAAAGAGAAACCACCUCACUGCUGAGAUGGAGAGUGGUGUGGAAAGGAGACAGAAACAGCCACCACCCUCCCUUAAGCCAGCAGCUAAUCCGGAGCACCUCACCCCAAUUCUAUGGAGCGAGCUGAAGAAGCUGCAGAAGAAAAGUCGGGCCGUUCCCAUGGUGGCACAGCCGAAACGAAUCUGACUAGAAUCCAUGAGGAUGCGGGUUGGACCCCUGGCCUUCUUCAGUGGGACAGCAAUCCAGUGUUGCUAUGGGCUGUGGUGUAGGUCGCAGACAUGGCUCAGAUCCCCCGUUGCUGUGGCUGUGGUGUAGACUGGCAGCUGUAGUUCUGAUUCAACCCUUAGUCUGGGAACUUCCAUAAAAAUACAAAAAAAAAAAAAAAGUCUGGGAGUUCCCAUCAUGGCUCAGUGGUUAACGAAUCCGACUAGGAACCAUGAGGUUGCAUGUUCUAUCCCUGGCCUUGCUAAGUGGAUUAAGGAUCCAGUGUUGCCGUGACCUGUGGUGUAGUUCGCAGACGAGGCUCGGAUCCCAAGUUGCUAUGGCUGUGGUGUAGGCUGGCAGCUGUAGCUCUGAUUAGACCCCUAGCCUGGGAACUUCCAUAUGCCACAAAAGACAAAAGACAAAAGACAAAAAAAAAAAGGCUGAAGCUUAGCAGAAGUUGGUGCACAAUGUUCACGGAAAGAAACCGUCUCCAUAACGCAAAAGCACAAGGUGAAGCAGCAGGUGGUGAUGUUAUCCAGGAGUGCUGGCUAGGAUUAUUCUAGAAAGUGGUUACCCUAAACAAGAGAUUUUCAAUGUGGAUGAAACAAUCUUUUAGGUCCCUAUUGUUUAAGAAUCUCAUUCACCUUGAAAAUUAGUUUUUCAGAAUCUGAGUGGGAGACCCCACCUCCCUAAUAGUUCAAACCUGAAACUGGCAGCCCCUUUAGCCUGGUGCCUGAGAGCAGAACCCAAGACAAAGCCAGGUAGGCAGGUGGUCUAAUUGGGAGGUGGUCUCAGGGCACAGAAGGGAAGGACGAGGGACGAUGAAACAGGCCCCAGGGGACAGCAGCUGGAGGGAUGUGGAAUUGAAUUGGCCACUGCUACAGACAACUGCGCUGGAUUCUGCCAGAACCUGCUAGAGCAGCCUGAGGAGCCCGUGGGAGCACAAGGGAAUCGUGUAUUCAGCUGCUUUGCUCCUGGUGGUCAAGGGCGAACCCUCGGGUGAUACGCCCCACAGCUCCUCCCCCAACACACACACUCCCGGGCAUAAUGUUCACUGCCUGUGUGUGACCCAGGACCCACUUGGGGCACCCAUCUAGGGAAGCUCCAAGACUGCAGGCAGCAGGAGUUCGUGCGCUGAGACGAUUCCACCGUCAGAUCACACCCACGCGAGACCGGUUGAACCUGGCCUCUUCCCACCGACACGCUGAAACUACAACUGUGCACAGAGGAUCUCUGAAAAGGACCCAAAGACUAGCAGAAAGGAUUUUCCACAGAGAAGAAGAAGAAGAAAAAGCCCCAUUGAGAAGGGUAGGAGGGACCCACUCCCCAGGGAGGAGGGACAGCACAGCCACGCGUCCGCCCCAGGAGCAAGGGGUCCAAACAGCACGUCGCGCUCCCCAGCCCAGGAGACCUGCACCCGCCUGGCUCCUAAAACCAGCAUACGUCUGGGAAGGCGGGGAGGAGCCAGAGGAAACGCUGAUCUCCAACAAUAUGUGUCAACACUACCUCACUCUGAGCCCCAGCAGGAGGCAGCGGUUCAACAGGUGCCUGGUCCAUUCAGGAAGGACAUUCAUGGACUAAUUUUAGUGUGCACGCCCAAGAGGCAAGGGUGGUGCUGAUGGGUGUCAAGUUUUUUUUUUUGGGGGGGGGGGGCUCAUCUUCUAUCUAGCUGGCCUGGCCCUGGAGGGUCUGCCUUGCCAGGGCUUCUCACCCCAUCCCAGAUUCACCUGCGAACCCACCACCCCAACCAGCUCUCCGCCAAAGUGGCCCCCUGCUCCCAGACCUGGUGGCUGCCUUCCCCAUCAAAAGUGGCCCCUUGCCCCACCAGACCCAGUGCUACAUAAAGAAUAUGUACUGAUGAGUUCCUGUUGUGGCUCAGCAGGUUA